CCUACGGGAGGCUGCAGUGGGGAAUAUUGGACAAUGGGGGGAACCCUGAUCCAGCCAUGCCGCGUGUGUGAAGAAGGCCCUCGGGUUGUAAAGCACUUUCAGUGAGGAAGAACGCCUGGUGGUUAAUACCCAUCAGGAAAGACAUCACUCACAGAAGAAGCACCGGCUAACUCCGUGCCAGCAGCCGCGGUAAUACGGAGGGUGCGAGCGUUAAUCGGAAUUACUGGGCGUAAAGCGCGCGUAGGUGGCUUGAUAAGCCGGUUGUGAAAGCCCCGGGCUCAACCUGGGAACGGCAUCCGGAACUGUCAAGCUAGAGUGCAGGAGAGGAAGGUAGAAUUCCCGGUGUAGCGGUGAAAUGCGUAGAGAUCGGGAGGAAUACCAGUAGCGAAGGCGGCCUUCUGGACUGACACUGACACUGAGGUGCGAAAGCGUGGGUAGCAAACAGGAUUAGAUACCCUUGUAGUC
rnacentral:rRNA from 1 species